GAAAUGCGAUAAGUAAUGUGAAUUGCAGAAUUCAGUGAAUCAUCGAAUCUUUGAACGCACCUUGCGCUCCUUGGUAUUCCGAGGAGCAUGCCUGUUUGAGUGUCGUGAAAUCAUCAACUCCCUUUACUUUUUGGUGAAGGUGAGCUUGGAUUUGGGGACUUGCUGGCCUUUACGGGUUCUGGCUUCCCUUGAAUGCAUUAGCUGGUAAUUGAUUUGCAGCAUAUAUGCGGUGUGAUAAUGUCUUCACUGUGUAGCUCAAGUCGACUGGCUUCUAAUCGUCCUUCACGGGACAACAUUUUGAUCAUUAGACCUCAAAUCAGGUAGGACUACCCGCUGAACUUAA
rnacentral:misc_RNA from 1 species